rnacentral:rRNA from 1 species
AGCUUGACUGCGAGCGUGACGGCGCGAGCAGGUGCGAAAGCAGGUCAUAGUGAUCCGGUGGUUCUGAAUGGAAGGGCCAUCGCUCAACGGAUAAAAGGUACUCCGGGGAUAACAGGCUGAUACCGCCCAAGAGUUCAUAUCGACGGCGGUGUUUGGCACCUCGAUGUCGGCUCAUCACAUCCUGGGGCUGAAGUAGGUCCCAAGGGUAUGGCUGUUCGCCAUUUAAAGUGGUACGCGAGCUGGGUUUAGAACGUCGUGAGACAGUUCGGUCCCUAUCUGCCGUGGGCGCUGGAGAACUGAGGGGGGCUGCUCCUAGUACGAGAGGACCGGAGUGGACGCAUCACUGGUGUUCGGGUUGUCAUGCCAAUGGCACUGCCCGGUAGCUAAAUGCGGAAGAGAUAAGUGCUGAAAGCAUCUAAGCACGAAACUUGCCCCGAGAUGAGUUCUCCCUGACUCCUUGAGAGUCCUGAAGGAACGUUGAAGACGACGACGUUGAUAGGCCGGGUGUGUAAGCGCAGCGAUGCGUUGAGCUAACCGGUACUAAUGAACCGUGAGGCUUAACCUU